CGGGGGAUGACGGUACCGGAAGAAUAAGCACCGGCUAACUACGUGCCAGCAGCCGCGGUAAUACGUAGGGUGCAAGCGUUAAUCGGAAUUACUGGGCGUAAAGCGUGCGCAGGCGGUUUGCUAAGACCGAUGUGAAAUCCCCGGGCUCAACCUGGGAACUGCAUUGGUGACUGGCAGGCUAGAGUAUGGCAGAGGGGGGUAGAAUUCCACGUGUAGCAGUGAAAUGCGUAGAGAUGUGGAGGAAUACCGAUGGCGAAGGCAGCCCCCUGGGCCAAUACUGACGCUCAUGCACGAAAGCGUGGGGAGCAAACAGGAUUAGAUACCCUGGUAGUCCACGCCCUAAACGAUGUCAACUAGUUGUUGGGGAUUCAUUUCCUUAGUAACGUAGCUAACGCGUGAAGUUGACCGCCUGGGGAGUACGGUCGCAAGAUUAAAACUCAAAGGAAUUGACGGGGACCCGCACAAGCGGUGGAUGAUGUGGAUUAAUUCGAUGCAACGCGAAAAACCUUACCUACCCUUGACAUGGUCGGAAUCC
rnacentral:rRNA from 1 species